GUGAAAGUGUUCCCGAGCCGGAGCAGGGCAGGGGUCAGCCAGGAGCCACGGCGGAAGUUCACACAAACGCCGGUCCCGGCGCCGGCGCAUCCACGGCCCGGCCGGCCACACGAUACCGCCGUCCUACGCAAGACAGCAGUAAGUCCACCUCCACCUGAGCCGUGCUCAAUACUUACUGUCACGCGCCUCCCGGCUCAAGCCGACGAAUAUUUACUCCUGACGCCCGUAGGAAAGGAGGAUAGACAACCCGCUCUCCUCUCCUGCCUCCUCUUUCCGCCCCCGCGCACGGCAGUCGGGAGCCGCUAAUCAGCGGCAACUGACAACUGAGAUUAGUGGCUCAUCACCUGAGCUUCUUCAGCCAUGUUUGUAACAAAGUAUCGUUGAGUGGAGCAAUUAGACCGGCGCUCAAGGGAUUGCCGAGCUCCUCUGAGCUACUUUACAUGCUUUGCCCUUAAUAAGCCACAUCAGGACUCCUGGCUAUUCCUUCCUCCUCAACGAGGACUGUAUGCGGAUGAUACCCUUCCCUUCACUUCUGAUCCAAGGGACGUAAUCAGAUAGACGUUCGAGAAGAAUAUCGGACUGAAUUGUUCAAGUAUUUGAGAGGAAGUCAGUGCGCUGGAUCUGGCAAAAUGAACUGCCAAGUUGCAUGGAGCGAAUUGGGUGAUCUUAGAUGUCGAGCAGCAUUGUAUAAUUUCAACGCUCUCACUGAUGAUGAAAAGUCUCUGUGUCCGAAUGCUAUAACGGCUGCCUGUAGAUUCACCGAUUACAACUGUGUCGUUUAUGUGCCGUUGCCGAAAGAAGAUGGAGCCACUGGAACUACAUUCAAACAAGUGCCAUUGAAGAAGUGUGUAGAAAAAGUGCGUGGCUUUGCCCAGCAAAGUAGAGAAUUUAGAGAAUUCUUAGGUGCGAAGAAAAAGAAUCUAUGAGCGAAGAUAUUUCAAAAUUUCUUCAAAAUUUGAACUGUCAAAAAUAAACUGACAAACAUUUUGUGCCGUAAUAAAUAAGCUGUUUGAUUAUUUGUCAAAACUGACUAUCGUAAUAAACCCAAUAUUUUAGAAUAAAUGUGUGUGACCGAUAAUAGAAAGAUAAUUUAAGGUACGCUACUUACUAAGCGGAAAAAUUUGUAUUUUAAGGGUUCAGUAGAAAGCCUUCUCUUGUUUCCUAGAGAAUGAAUUGCGAAAGUUUUUGAACAAUUUUGUGCCAAUCUAGGGCAUGAUAAUGCAUUAAAAUCUGACAUAUCACGGGAAUGAAGUAUGAUAAUUUUAUCUUGGUGAUCUUGGCGCUAGCUAUAAGAGUAAUUUAGAGCCGGAGGUAGAUGUAUGGCUCCAGCCAUAGAUGUGGUUGAAUCAACCAUGCUUCUUACUGGUGCAAAGCCAUUUCUAGCUGGCGCCAGAAUCAGCCGGAAAUAUAGUUGAAAUCAUCACUCUUUAAUGCUUGUAUCCUCAUUAUCAGCUUACAAUGAGUAGUCUUCUCUUGAAACUAAGUCUUUUUUUAACGUGAAACCUUAAAUGAACCGAGUUUAUCAGAGAGGAACCAACUCACUUUUUCGAAAAAAAAAUGAGUUAAGAAAGUUUAUAAGUUCCACUAGGUGUAUAUUUCCUCCUGCCAAAACUGAAUGUCGAGAAUUAGAAAUUAGUUUGUGAACAGAAGGGUUAUAGUUUAUUUCCUACAUUGAGCCUUCUGCAGAAAUAAAACUUCAAACCUCUUUCUCUCAGUUUCAACUUAAUGGGGGUUGGUUCCUUUCUGAUGAACCCGGUCCAAAUGGCAAUAAUUUCAGUUUUCUUGACAUUUUCUGUCAUACAAUUCCCAAUUUUUUUCAAUUAUUCAAUUCGGAUAUAGCUCAGUUUAAAGUUUGUGUAGCGACUGAGUGUUGUUGCUUGUAGACGGGCAUAAUAUGACGGGCAGCACUCAAAAACAAAAUAAUAUAAACAGGAAAUCAAUUAUAAGCCUGAAGUUAUGAAAGAAAUUGUGUGGAUCGUAAAUUUCAAAAAGUCUAGAAUCACUCGAUUUGAGAAAGUUAAAGUCAUAUAAAGGCAUAUUAUGCAAUGCAUGCGUUUCUCUUAGUGCAGAGUCCCCUCAAGAAAGACAGUUCGAUUAAUGGUGUUAUUUCAGCGAUGUGAGUGUCAUGAAAGAUUUGAAACAGAAAUAAAGGAAAUAUGUAUUCAGUACGGUUGAAGCUUGCAAGAGUACUAAAUACCGGGAUACGUUUUGCCGGUG
rnacentral:lncRNA from 1 species